rnacentral:lncRNA from 1 species
CUAUUCAUGACAGGUCUGGUCUAACCUAUUCAUGACAGGUCUGGUCUAACCUAUUCAUGACAGGUCUGGUCUAACCUAUUCAUGACAGGUCUGGUCUAACCUAUUCAUGACAGGUCUGGUCUAACCUAUUCCUGACAGGUCUGGUCUAACCUAUUCAUGACAGGCCUGGUCUAACCUAUUCAUGACAGGCCUGGUCUAACCUAUUCAUGACAGGUUUGGGUAAAUAACAGGAGAAAUGUGAUAACUAAAACACCAGAGAACUGGGGAGAAAAUAGGAGUCAACAUCAUAAACUGACUGACAUACAAUGAGUGUACAAAACAUUAAGAACACCUUCCUGAUAUUGACCCCUCCCCCCUUUUGCCCUCAGAACAGCCUCAAUUUGUCGGGGUAUGGACUCUACAACGUGUUGAAAGUGUUCCACAGGGAUGCAGUUGUGUCAAGUCGGCUGGAUGUCCUUUGGUUGGUUAACCAUUCUUGAUACACACGGGAAACUGUUGAGCGUGAAAAACCCAGCAGCGUUGCAGUUCUUGACACAACGGUGCGCCCGGCACCUACUGCCAUACCCCCUACCAUACCCACUACCAUACCCUGUUCAAAGACACAUUUUUCUUGCCCACUCACCCUCUGAAUGUCCCACAUACACGAUCCAUGUCUCAAUUGUCUCAAGUCUUAAAAAUCCUUCUUUAACCACUGAUUGAAAUGGAUUUAACAAGUGACAUCAAUAAGGGAUAAUAGCUUUCACCUGGUCAGUCUAGGGGCGGCAGGUAGGCUAGUGGUUAGAGCGUUGGACUAGUAACCAAAAGGUUGCAAGAUCAAAUCCCAGAGCUGACAAGGUGAAAAUCUGGCGUCCUGUUCCUAGGCCGUCAUUGAAAAUAAGAAUUUGUUCUUAACUGACUUGCCUAGUAAAAUAAAUGUCAUGGAAAGAACAGGUGUUCAUAAUGUUUUGUACACUCAGUGUAUAUGUAAAUAAAUGAAAUGUAAACACACAUUGAAAUGAAUUGCAAACCCAUUGAAGUGAAUGUAAUGUAUUUCAAUACAGGGUAUUACAUCUGUAAAAACUAAUCAAUCACUCACCACCAGCAUUUACUACAGGACUGAGUUCACGUCUCCGUGUUUCACAGCUGUGUUGUGAUUGGAUACGUUUUGCAGUUCUAGGCUCUCAUUGGAUGAUUUUGCUAGUUGUGGGCUUUCAUCUCACUCUGUGUCACUUGUUCUCAUUGAGUUAUUUGUUGUAAAUGGUCGCCAGCUGUUACUGUGUUAGAAUGUCCUAUUAGGUCUCUGUUCUGUCUGUCACUCUGUCAGACUGUCCUAGCAGGUCUCUGUUCUGACUGUCACUCUGUCAGACUGUCCUAGCAGGUCUCUGUUCUAUCUGUCACUGUGUCAGACUGUCCUAGCAGGUCUCUGUUCUGACUGUCCUAGCAGGACUGUUCUGUCUGUCCUAGCAGGUCUCUGUUCUGACUGUCCUAGCAGGUCUCUGUUCUGACUGUCCUAGCAGGUCUCUGUUCUGACUGUCCUAGCAGGUCUCUGUUCUGACUGUCCUAGCAGGUCUCUGUUCUGACUGUCCUAGCAGGUCUCUGUUCUGACUGUCCUAGCAGGUCUCUGUUCUGACUGUCACUGUGUCAGACUGUUCUAGCAGGUCUCUGUUCUGACUGUCACUGUGUCAGACUGUCCUAGCAGGUCUCUGUUCUGACUGUCCUAGCAGGUCUCUGUUCUGACUGUCCUAGCAGGUCUCUGUUCUGACUGUCCUAGCAGGUCUCUGUUCUGACUGUCCUAGCAGGUCUCUGUUCUGACUGUCACUGUGUCAGACUGUUCUAGCAGGUCUCUGUUCUGACUGUCACUGUGUCAGACUGUUCUAGCAGGUCUCUGUUCUGACUGUCACUGUGUCAGACUGUCCUAGCAGGUCUCUGUUCUGACUGUCCUAGCAGGUCUCUGUUCUGACUGUCCUAGCAGGUCUCUGUUCUGACUGUCCUAGCAGGUCUCUGUUCUGACUGUCUUAGCAGGUCUCUGUUCUGACUGUCCUAGCAGGACUCUGUUCUGACUGUCCUAGCAGGUCUCUGUUCUGACUGUCCUAGCAGGUCUCUGUUCUGACUGUCCUAGCAGGACUCUGUUCUGACUGUCCUAGCAGGACUCUGUUCUGACUGUCCUAGCAGGUCUCUGUUCUGACUGUCCUAGCAGGACUCUGUUCUGACUGUCCUAGCAGGUCUCUGUUCUGACUGUCCUAGCAGGUCUCUGUUCUGACUGUCCUAGCAGGACUCUGUUCUGACUGUCCUAGCAGGUCUCUGUUCUGACUGUCCUAGCAGGUCUCUGUUCUGACUGUCCUAGCAGGACUCUGUUCUGACUGUCCUAGCAGGUCUCUGUUCUGACUGUCCUUGCAGGUCUCCACAGCAUUCUGGGAGUACUGUUCUGUCUGUAAAGUGAAAUCCCCUGGUUGCUCGUUUUAUGUUUUCUAUUGUAAACAAUGAGAUGCUUUUGGAAUAAAAGUCUAAAGCAAAACAUUCCA